rnacentral:rRNA from 1 species
AGUGGCAUAAGCAAAAUAAAUCAAAACUUUCAGCAACGGAUCUCUUGGUUCUGGCAUCGAUGAAGAACGCAGCGAAAUGCGAUAAGUAAUGUGAAUUGCAGAAUUCAGUGAAUCAUCGAAUCUUUGAACGCAUAUUGCGCCCGCCAGUAUUCUGGCGGGCAUGCCUGUCCGAGUGUCAUUUCAACCCUCAGGGCCCGUUCGCGGGACCUGGUGUUGGGGAUCGGCCGUCCAUCGCGGCGGCCGGCCCUGAAAUCGAGUGGCGGUCUCGUCGCGACCUCCUCUGCGUAGUAGCAAUAUCUCGCAGCUGGAAGGCGACGGGGCCACGCCGUAAAACUGUCUCCGGACACUUUUUCUCAAGGUUGACCUCGGAUCAGGUAGGAAUACCCGCUGAACUUAAGCAUAUCAAUAAGCGGAGGAA